rnacentral:rRNA from 1 species
GAUGAACGCUGGCGGCGUGCCUAAUACAUGCGAGUCGAGCGAACAGACGAGGAGCUUGCUCCUCUGACGUUAGCGGCGGACGGGUGAGUAACACGUGGAUAACCUACCUAUAAGACUGGUAUAACUUCGGGAAACCGGAGCUAAUACCGGAUAAUAUAUUGCACCGCAUGGUUCAAUAGUGAAAGACGGUUUUGCUGUCACUUAUAGAUGCAUCCCCGCCGCAUUAGCUAGUUGGUAAGGUAACGGCUUACAAAGGCAACGAUGCGUAGCCGACCUGAGAGGGUGAUCGGCCACACUGGAACUGAGACACGGUCCAGACUCCUACGGGAGGCAGCAGUAGGGAAUCUUCCGCAAUGGGCGAAAGCCUGACGGAGCAACGCCGCGUGAGUGAUGAAGGUCUUCGGAUCGUAAAACUCUGUUAUUAGGGAAGAACAAAUGUGUAAGUAACUAUGCACGUCUUGACGGUACCUAAUCAGAAAGCCACGGCUAACUACGUG